rnacentral:rRNA from 1 species
GUGCCAGCCGCCGCGGUAAUACGAAGGGGGGCUAGCGUUGUUCGGAUUUACUGGGCGUAAAGCGCACGUAGGCGGACUAUUAAGUCAGGGGUGGAAUCCCGGGGCUCAACCCCGGAACUGCCUUUGAUACUGGUAGUCUUGAGUUCGAGAGAGGUGGGUGGAAUUCCGAGUGUAGAGGUGAAAUUCGUGGAUAUUCGGAGGAACACCAGUGGCGAAGGCGGCUCACUGGCUCGAUACUGACGCUGAGGUGCGAAAGCGUGGGGAGCAAACAGGAUUAGAAACCCCCGUAGUCC